AGAGUUUGAUCCUGGCUCAGGAUGAACGCUAGCGGCAGGCCUAACACAUGCAAGUCGAGGGAGAAGCCCUCUCGGGGGCAGAAACCGGCGCACGGGUGCGUAACGCGUAUGCAACCUACCUUUCACAGGGGGAUAGCCCGAAGAAAUUUGGAUUAAUACCCCAUAAUAUUAUUGGAAGGCAUCAUUUGAUAAUUAAAACUGCGGUGGUGAAAGAUGGGCAUGCGUCCUAUUAGCUAGUUGGAGUGGUAACGGCACCCCAAGGCUACGAUAGGUAGGGGUCCUGAGAGGGAGAUCCCCCACACUGGUACUGAGACAGGACCAGACUCCUACGGGAGGCAGCAGAAGG
rnacentral:rRNA from 1 species